rnacentral:rRNA from 1 species
CAGCUUGUUGGUGAGGUAAUGGCUCACCAAGGCGACGACGGGUAGCCGGCCUGAGAGGGUGACCGGCCACACUGGGACUGAGACACGGCCCAGACUCCUACGGGAGGCAGCAGUGGGGAAUAUUGCACAAUGGGCGCAAGCCUGAUGCAGCAACGCCGCGUGAGGGAUGACGGCCUUCGGGUUGUAAACCUCUUUUAGCAGGGAAGAAGCGCAAGUGACGGUACCUGCAGAAAAAGCACCGGCUAACUACGUGCCAGCAGCCGCGGUAAUACGUAGGGUGCAAGCGUUGUCCGGAAUUAUUGGGCGUAAAGAGCUCGUAGGCGGUUUGUCGCGUCUGCUGUGAAAACCCGAGGCUCAACCUCGGGCCUGCAGUGGGUACGGGCAGACUAGAGUGCGGUAGGGGAGAUUGGAAUUCCUGGUGUAGCGGUGGAAUGCGCAGAUAUCAGGAGGAACACCGAUGGCGAAGGCAGAUCUCUGGGCCGUAACUGACGCUGAGGAGCGAAAGCGUGGGGAGCGAACAGGAUUAGAUACCCUGGUAGUCCACGCCGU